GUGAACAAGUUAGUUCUUUUCUACUUUGGAAAAAGAAAAAAGAAAAAAGAAAAAAAAACUACCAACAAAAGAAGCUCAAAUAUGACCCGAAACUAAACAAAAGACGUAGUAAAAAUUUUAACGCAUACUCUUCUGCAUCUCCACCAUCUUGCUUCUUGCUAAACAAAGCUUGUUCCUUUCCUUGUUUCGCAGAGUGAUCAAGUGCAUUCCUAUUCUCUUCUUCUGCAUCUCCACCUUCUUUCUUCUUACUAGGCAAAGCGUGUUCAUUUCCUUGCUCCCCAGGAUGAUCAGAUGCCUUCCUAUUGUCUUCUUCUGCUUCUCCGUCAUCUUGCUUCUUACUAGGCAAAGCGUGUUCCUUUCGUUGUUCUCCUGGAUGAUCAGAUGCGUUCCUAUUGUCUUCUUCUGCAUCUCCGCCAUCUUGCUUCUUACUAGGCAAAGCUUGUUCCUUUCCUUGUUCCCCAGAAUGAUCAGAUGCCUUCCUAUUGUCUUCUUCUGCAUCUCCGCCAUCUUGCUUCUUACUAGGCAAAGCGUGUUCAUUUCCUCGUUCCCCAGGAUGAUCAGAUGCAUUCCUAUUGUCUUCUUCUGCAUCUCCACCAUCUUGCUUCUUACUAGGCAAAGCGUGUUCCUUUCCUUGUUCUCCAGAAUGAUCAGAUGCAUUCCUAUUGUCGUCUUCUUUGUUGGAUUCAUCAAUAUCAGUUGUCUUUGAUGGUAAAAUAUUUGGGGAAAACUCAUCCAAUUCGGAUAAGGCCUCUUUAAAAACGAAUGAACUUUCCCUGUUAUUUUUUAUGCAACUAAAUUAUUUCACUAUUAGAAAUGUACAAUAAUGUACAAGAUUCAAGAAAUCCAAAGAACUACCUGGCCUUUUCCAAGCCUGCACUUACACCAGCCUUGAUUCUCUCAAUUUCAGCAGACACGCCAAGAACAGUAUUCAUCAGUUGCUCAAAGCAUCCUAGAAGACAAGACAUAUGGUGGUCUGCAGCCAUUGCUUCAGGAUCAGAAGGCAAGCACUGAAAGAAAUUCAGCGCUUCUCCACUGGCUACUCGAGAGCUGCUUCUUGUUAGAUUGGAAUCGCUUGAAAUCGGCAUUGAAACAGGGAGCCCUUUUUUCUCUUGACUAUCUUCUUCUGUCUUGAAUUCAUCCAUCUUCUGACUCAGCCAUUGCCUUGCUUUAUCAAUCUUGGCCCUUACUUGUUGAUCAAGAUUGUUUCUCGCAAUAAUUGAUGCUUCAAUUUCUAUCUUGAAGGACUUGGCAGCGAUGAUUUCUUUGGAGCCGCCAUCACUCUUUUCUAGUGAUUUUGCAAUGAAAUGAUCCAAUUCUGAAAAUAGCAUCGUACUUUCAAGAUCAAUUUGAGUGUUAUCUUUGUGAGCCAUUGUUCUUGCUUUGGGAGUGAGAGAGAGGGCUGAAUGAGUAUUCUAUGAGAGAGAAGCGCCAAAUUUGUGGCUUACAAAAGCGGUUAUUUCUGUUAAGAAGUUGUAGAUUAUGGACAUAUAUUCUCCUUAUGCUUGUAUGUGGAUAAACAUUUUACAUUUGAUGCAGGAAAAAUGCCUCAAUCUUGUGGACAACAGAUCAUCAAUGAAGCUGAAGAACAUAAAUAAGCAUUUUAUGUGAAGAGGCAACUCAAUUGUGAAACCAACAAAGCUCUUUACAGAGAAACAGAGAAGCUAUACUAUGAAACCAAGAAAAUUUCCAUAAAGGAGCUGGCAAUCAUCACUGAGAGCCAUUGCGGAAGCAAUUCCUCGAGAGGUACAAAAUAUUGAAAGAAGACAGGGAAGGAAAAUGCUGAAAAGGAACUGUAUAUUUGGGUCAGCGUCGAAAUCCUCGGAAACCCGCUGAUCUUUUGAGGAUCGGAAGACUUCUCUUGAAGUUAAAUCACAACAUUCCACCUCGCAUGCUGGUGAUGCUCGGUAGAAAACGUUAUAUAAAAGAAGGUGGACUGUAUAACUUAGUUACUGUUAUGUUUUUACAGUUGAAAUCGCGUUUUGUGAUUUGUAAAUUUUGUUUUUUUCUUGUCUAAUGAAGAAUGAACUCAAGUUAGUUCU